GCAGACACAUUCCAGCCAAUCAGCAGCAGACCCUCCCUCCCAGACCCUCCCACCUCCUGGACAGCAUCCAUUUUGAAGCUGCAUUCUUAGUGAGCUGUCCAGGAGGUGGGAGGGUCUGGGAGGGAGGGUCUGCUGCUGAUUGGCUGGAAUGAGUCUG